GGUGCUUGCACUGAAUGGGAACCGGCGAACGGGUGCGUAACACGUAUGCAACCUACCUAUAACUGGGGAAUAGCCCGAAGAAAUUCGGAUUAAUACCCUAUAAUAUUUAGUCAUCGCAUGAUGAUUAUCUUAAAACUCCGGUGGUUAUAGAUGGGCAUGCGGCCUAUUAGUUUGUUGGUGAGGUAAUGGCUCACCAAGACUACGAUAGGUAGGGGGUCUGAGAGGAUGAUCCCCCACACUGGUACUGAGACACGGACCAGACUCCUACGGGAGGCAGCAGUAGGGAAUAUUGGACAAUGGACGAAAGUCUGAUCCAGCCAUGCCGCGUGCAGGAUGACGGCCCUAUGGGUUGUAAACUGCUUUUAUAUAGGAAGAAACCUUUUUACGUGUAGAAAGCUGACGGUACUAUAUGAAUAAGGACCGGCUAACUCCGUGCCAGCAGCCGCGGUAAUACGGAGGGUCCAAGCGUUGUCCGGAUUUAUUGGGUUUAAAGGGUACGUA
rnacentral:rRNA from 1 species